GAUGAAGACGCAGCGAAAUGCGAUAAGUAAUGUGAAUUGCAGAAUUCAGUGAAUCAUCGAAUCUUUGAACGCACAUUGCGCCCCUUGGUAUUCCAUGGGGCAUGCCUGUUCGAGCGUCAUUUGUACCUUCAAGCUCUGCUUGGUGUUGGGUGUUUGUCUCGCCUCUGCGUGUAGACUCGCCUCAAAAUAAUUGGCAGCCGGCGUAUUGAUUUCGGAGCGCAGUACAUCUCGCGCUUUGCACUCAUAACGACGACGUCCAAAAGUACAUUUUUACACUCUUGACCUCGGAUCAGGUAGGGAUACCCGCUGAACUUAAGCAUAUCAAUAAGCGGAGGA
rnacentral:misc_RNA from 1 species